CCUACGGGAGGCAGCAGUAGGGAAUAUUGCUCAAUGGGGGAAACCCUGAAGCAGCAACGCCGCGUGGAGGAUGAAGGUUUUCGGAUUGUAAACUCCUUUUGUUAGAGAAGAUAAUGACGGUAUCUAACGAAUAAGCACCGGCUAACUCCGUGCCAGCAGCCGCGGUAAUACGGAGGGUGCAAGCGUUACUCGGAAUUACUGGGCGUAAAGAGCGCGUAGGCGGGAUAGCAAGUCAGAUGUGAAAUCCUAUGGCUUAACCACAGAACUGCUUUUGAAACUGUUAUUCUAGAGUAUGGGAGAGGUAGGUGGAAUUCUUGGUGUAGGGGUAAAAUGCGUAGAGAUCAGGAGGAAUACUCAUUGCGAAGGCGACCUGCUAGAACAAAACUGACGCUGAUGCGCGAAAGCGUGGGGAGCAAACAGGAUUAGAUACCCUUGUAGUC
rnacentral:rRNA from 1 species